rnacentral:lncRNA from 12 species
GAUAACUGUAUUAACGUUAUACAUAUAACUCAGGUAUAUACCCAAACAUAGCCAUAGUCAUGAAAAUAAUAAUCUUAUGAACAAGUGCUGCAUUUUUGCCACAGGUCCUAUAUCUACCAUAUCAAGGGUAGCAUUUCAUCUCAUGCAAAACCCUCGGAGUCAUUAUCCCACUUUACAGGUGCUGAGAUAUGUCCAGUAUCAACCUGCCACACAAGAGGAAGAGUCUCACCAACCUUGACCAAAAGAGAAGGAAGCAAGAGGAACUGGGGUAACACAGUAUCCAAAGGAAGCAGAGAAGCAGAAGGAGGAAGAGAUGCAAGAACAGAACCCAGACACAAUGUUGGAGAGCAAAUCUAUGAUCAAAGUUGAUCGAUGGCAACUGCAAGGAAACAUUUUCUGUCCAUUUUAGCACUUCCAGUGUAUUCAUAAGUGGCUACUAUGAAGAUUGUUUUUUCCUUCCUUGGAGAAGGUGCCACUCCACCAUGGCUCCAGACACUAUGGGGCCAAACACAGGACAACAUAGGCAUGAUUAUUCCUGAGCAUGAGAUGAAAAUUGUAAAUAGAAUGAACUUCUCAAGAGGCUGAAAAACUGUGCAAUCAAUGCACUAAAUUUUCUCCUUUUUCGAAGCAUAAAUGAGCCAACAAGUCAACUCCCUAUCAAAGAAAACCCUGCUUGAAGAUAGGACAUCAGAACAUCAACAAGAUAAUACUGCUAAGAACUUUCUGAACCCCUGGAUUCUUUGUGCAAUGAAAACCUUCCACAGUAUCUAGAGCAUUAAAACAUUGAAAACACAGUUGAAUGAAUUGUUUCAUUCUUCAAUACCUAACACUUCUGCAUAAUGAGAUCCUCACUCGUGUAUCUUCUGCUUCAAAUAUUUUAUUUUAACUAUAAAUGGUACAUUAAAAAAAGACCUUAAAAGCUAGCAGACAUGUUUUGUUUUUGUUCCUUUUGCAUUGUCUCAGCCUAUAAAUCAUUGUGACUAUUAAAAUAUAAACACCAUGCACAAGUCUAAAGUUCAGGUGCAGACUCUGUCCAAUCAUGAAGUGUGACCAGAAAGACUUGAGGCUGAGUUGUGGCCCUGGGCGUCCUCAGCUCAACCUCUACUUGAUGGAGGAGCUACCUCACUUGAAUGUGAAGGCUUAACUCAGCUCCAAGGGAAGUUGCUGCAAAGCUAGAAUGGAACACCUCCUUCACUUGAGCAGUUCAUGUGUUCAGGGAUAGUUUGGGGAAAACAACU